GGGCGCCAUGGGAAUCCCGCGCGCCGAGGACGGGCGGCUGGAGCCGGUCUUGGCCUUGUGUCAACACGGCGCCGGCGGCGGCGGCUGCGGGGAGGGGCCGGGGCGCCCCGCAGACCCGCGCGCAGUCUGAGGGAGAGCAGGCGCGGCCCCGCCGCGGACAGGCGCCCGGCAGCCAUGGCGGAGUCGGCGUCGGCUCGGAAAAAAAGGAGGGGGAAUAACAGAAUAAGGAAAAAUUCAUCUAAAAGAAGGUAAGAAUGAAGAUGAAAGUUGGGAUAAAUCACACAGAAAAGCACAGGAGGAAGCGCCGCGCCACCCCUUUGGCUUCUCCCUCGCCGCCCCCACCAGAGACCGAGGAGCUCUCACUCCAGUCCGUGAUGGCCGCCCUGCAGGCCGUGGAGAAGAAGAUGGAGUCCCAGGCCGCCCAGCUGCAGAGCCUGGAGAAGCGCAUGGAGUCAGCCGAGAAGAAGCUGGCCGACUUCGAGAAGACGGCCGUGGAGUUCGGGAACCAGCUGGAGGGCAAGUGGGCCGUGCUGGGGACCCUGCUGCAGGAGUACGGGCUGCUGCAGAGGCGGCUGGAGAACAUGGAGAACCUGCUGAGGAACAGGAACUUCUGGGUCCUGCGGCUGCCCCCGGGCAGCACGGGGGAGGCCCCCAAGAUGCCCAGGUCACUCGAGAACGAUGGAGUCUGCUUCUCGGAGCAGGAGUGGGAGAACCUGGAGGACUGGCAGAAGGAGCUGUACAGAAACGUGAUGAUGAGCAACUAUGAGACGCUGGUCUCUCUGAAGGUCCUUGGGCAGCCUGAAGGAGAAGCGGAGUUGGGUACAGAGAUGCUGGGAGACUUGGAGGAGGAAAGCCUUGGUGGUGUCCACCCAGCAGACGGGGUUGUGAUUAAGCAGGAGGUGGAGUACCCGCCGGAACGCUCUGCGGACCUUCCGGGAGAGCUCUCGGGCCCCACAGAGGAGCCGGCCUUCCUGGGCCCGGAGCAGACUGAGCUCUGGAACACGCAGGGUGGCGCUGUCCUCUUGGAACCGGGGGCCGGGGACGCCCAUCCAGAGGAGCCUGCCGAGGGCAGCAGGGACCCUGGCAGCGACAGAAGUCUGGACUGCCCCCCGAAGCAGAAAUCCAAUAGGCCAGUGCCGCUGGCUCCGGAAUGUAACCCGGCCCUGAAGCUGAACAGGGAAGAUUUUGGCCCCUACGACUGUCCUGAGUGCGAGCUCAGCUUCCGCUGUGAGCAGCAGCUGGCCUAUCUGCGGGCCCACCCGUCGUGGGAGUCUUCCACCACCUCGGAGUCCGAGGAGGGUCUUAGGUCCAGGCCGCUGCUGAAGGCCUCGUCCAAGAAGGGGAAGCACCAGUGUGACGUGUGCAUGAGGAGCUUCAGCAGCAAGGUGAACCUGGCCAACCACCAGCGCUGCCACUUGCAGGAGGGGCCCAGCGGUGGCCAGCGUGUCCAGGAGAGGUUCUCGCCCAACAGCCUGGUGGCCCUCCCCGGCCACAUCCCCUGGAGGAAAAGCCGGAGUUGCCUCAUCUGUGGUUACUGUGGCAAGAGCUUCAGCCACCCAUCAGAUCUGGUGCGGCACCAGCGCAUCCACACGGGCGAGCGGCCCUACACCUGCCCCGAGUGUGAGCGGAGCUUCGUGCAGAAGCAGCACCUCCUGCAGCACCAGAAGAUCCACCAGCGGGAGCGUGGCACGCUGGCCUCCGAGCCAGGCAGGCCCAACGGCCUGCUCUAAGGGUGCCAGCCCCCCGCCUGUCCGGGGGAGCUGAGGGGGCUGGCAUUGGUCCCCUGAAGAGACACUGUGCAGAGUCAGGGACUGACUUCUUCCUUGGGGGUGUCAUUUAGGUUUGGCUGACUUUGGCCAAGCAGCAGGCCGAGCCCACGCCCUCAGAACUGUGCGGAGGAGCGCCGGGGCCAGGCCUGUCCCUGCUGUCUGCCCUGCUGCUGUGUGUGCCGCGUCUCGGGUUUUCCCAUCCGUGCUGACACUGUGCCCUGGGGCUGGUGUGAGGUCCGUCCCAGCGUCCCAGGUCUUCCCACGGGUGGGGUCGGGCCAAAGGAAGGAGCAGGUGUGCAGGAGAGCUCUGGAAGCACAGCCCUCUGCUUCCUCUUCGGCUGUAGUCUCCUUGUUACUAACAAGGAGCAGUAACUUAAAUGAACUGCUCACCUUGCUCUGAAGAACCUUUUUUGGAAUUAGAUGUUAGCUGGUUUGAAGAAAAUACAGCCUGACCCUUGUUUUUUAAACUUCCCAAGUUGUGGAAGUUGUUCCUCACCUGGGGACUGCGGCCAGCUGGGAGGGAACAGUUUGGGGCCUUCUUUAGCUGAGGCCAGCGGUCAGGGUGCAGAGCGCGGGCUCCCUCUCGGACGGGGCUCGCUGAAUCGGAAGGACCAAGAGGGAGAGAGCAGUGGGAGUAGACCCCAGAGCCCCCCAUUGGGAACGAGGAGUCUGGGAAAGGAGCUGAGAGGCGCCUGGGUUUCUCGCCGCAGCUCACUUCCUCUUCCACCUGCGUCCUUGCUGCGUCCUGCAGCCUCACAGGGUAGACGACUCCUUCGUUACUUAAGGUGGUUCAGCUUGUAUCAGCUCGUAUUUGAGUUUGUUCCUGUUAGACCAGUUGUUCCUCGAGGUUGUCCAGAUGACACACUUUCCCACUUAGUGCUGGGUGUUGACUGUGCACAGAGGACUGGGGCCUGCUGCACAGGAGAAGCAGCGGAGCAGACAGGAAGCCUGAAGAACAGGCCCUGGAAACUAGGCUUUUCUACUUUGUUACUUUGAAACUUUUUUUCUCCUUACGAAGCUUUUCUGGUGCUUUUGUAAGAGUUGUGUGUGGUUGCCAAGGGGACCACAAGCCUCUGGGGGCCAGGACUGUUCUGCCACCUGCCUGUGUGUGGGGACCAUAGAGCGCAGCCCAGACCAGCCUCGGCGUUGAUGGGACGCUCUGGUUGCUGCCCUGGAAACCAGGUGUCUGCUUGUCGGCCCAGAGUGAUUCCGUUGUUCCUGGCCUUCCUGUAUGGGGGUGAUUGACUUUGGUUAGCGGUAGAGAAGUGGGCACUGAAGCCCAGAGUGGAUGACUUCCCCGGCGUCUCCGUGUUCCAGGCUGUGCAUGCUCCAUGCCCACAGGUCGCCACAAGGGGGAGCCUCAGGAAGAAGCCCAGGAAGCUCCUCCUGAGCAAGAGGUCCAGGUUUGGGUGAGGCUGGUCUGCCGCCUGGGUGGUUUGUCAUGUUAAAGGAGGGAGGCAUGUCUCCGAGAAUGAGGGUCUUCUGCAGAGCUAGACCAGGAGAUCUGGAUGAAUGUGUUCACCACCACCAGCCAGCCUGGUGUUCCUCACUUACCCCAGCGCAGCCUACCUCACCUUAGGGUUGUCAGGGUCGUACUAGAUUAAGAGGCAACCAAAUAGGAAGCCUGAUCGCUUCCUUCCUUUCACGUUCGGGGCUGUGUCUCUCUUCUUUGUUGACCUCCAGCCCAUUCUCUCAGAGUCCACCAGGAAGAGCCUUUAUUUUUGUGAAGUGAGUGGAAGGUCAGGUAGGUGCUGAGCGGGGUGACUUUUUCAUUGGUUAUAUCCCCCGGAGCGCUUUGUGUUUCAGUGAGACAAAUUCUUACCAAAUCAGAGAGUCAAACUGUGAAUGCUCAGGCAUUGGCAUCAGGCUCAUGGAGAAGUCUUAAAUCCUCCUCCUCUGGGUGCUGCCUACGGACCAGCCCUCAGGUUGGGUGAUUUUGAAGCUUGGGCGAUGGGUCCUCAGCUGUUCUGACAGUCUUAUUUGUCUGGCACUAUGUGAAGAGGAUUGCAUCCAGGUGCCUGGGUCCCUGGCUGUGCCCCCUCUGACUGCACAUGAACAGAGUUUGGGGCAGGUGGUAAUAUUGCCAUCAUCUCUGGGGCACGAAUGAGUCUACAAGUCAGUGCCAGCUCAUCCAAGCACCUCUGGGAAAAGAGGUGCCCACUGUUUGUCUAUUCUGGUACCCCUCCGCCCCCUCUGGGGACCCCACAAGUCUGGGCAAGGCUGUCAGCAAGUGCUCAAACGGAAUAUGGUGCCAGUGUAACUGCUCUGAUCUUAACCCUCAGCUGCAAGAGCUGGUCUCAGGUGUUUCCUGGGGAUGCCUAGGGCUAAGAGUUCCGAGGCCCGGUUUGCUAGCUAAAUGUCCUGUGUCAAUACAGGCACUCCUAGAAGCCACACAUGAGCAAUCGCAAGGCACUGAUGUCCCCCUUUCUCUUUCCAAAGCAGUAAACGUGCUGGGCCCCCGUCAAGGCCUUGUGAGUGCUGACACCCAAUAGGUGUUCAAAGAAAGUCCGCGCUUCAAAACGAGUCAGGGGAGCCUGAGUGUGGCAGGAGCAGAUUGGACCUCUGGGACUCCAGAGGCUGGAGCCUGGUGUGGCCUUACACUCACUCCCAGCUCUGGGCCGUGGCCUCCUUGUUUGUAAAACAAAGGAAGGUGGAAUGCUGGUGUUCAAGGACCUGAAGAACUGAUGGUGGCAGUUCCUUGCCUCAGUCUCGAGUCAAUAAAUAUAUUGGACUAAUA